rnacentral:rRNA from 1 species
AUUGAACGCUGGCGGCAGGCCUAACACAUGCAAGUCGAACGAGUGGCGGACGGGUGAGUAAUGUCUGGGAAAAUGCCCGAUGUAGGGGGGGAACUACUGUAAAAGGUAGCGCAUAUCGCAUACCAUCUGAUGUGCCCAGAUGGGAUUAGCUUGUGGGUGUGGUAACGGCGCACCUAGGCGACGCUCCCUAGCUGGUCUGAGAGGAUGACCAGCCACACUGGAACGGAGACACGGUCCAGACUCCUACGGGAGGCAGCAGUGGGGAAUAUUGCACAAUUGGCGCAAGCCUGAUGCAGCCAUGCCGCGUGUAUGAAGAAGGCCUUCGGGUUGUAAAGUACUUUCAGCGGGGAGGCGUUACCCGCAGAAGAAGCACCGGCUAACUCCGUGCCAGCAGCCGCGGUAAUUC